UACGUAGGGGGCGAGCGUUGUCCGAAGUUACUGGGCGUAAAGCGCGCGUAGGCGGCUCUUUAAGUCUGGCGUGAAAGGUUCAGGGCUCAACCCGAACAGUGCGCUGGAGACUGGAGAGCUUGAGGACGGGAGAGGGAAGCGGAAUUCCGGGUGUAGCGGUGAAAUGCGUAGAUAUCUGGAGGAACACCGGUGGCGAAGGCGGCAUCCUGGACCGGCACUGACGCUGAGACACGAAAGCGUGGGUAGCAAACAGG
rnacentral:rRNA from 1 species